GAGAAGUGUGAGCCAGAGGCCCACGCCAGGAAGAGGCGGGGAGCUGGGAUGUUCUGCUACCCCUAACAAAGCGGUGCUGGGGAGACAGCAGCAGGGACAGCAGACAUCCCUGCUCUCCUGGCGUGGUCUAGGGCAGGAGCCAGACCACGAAACAGACACUGUGCUGAAUGGAGAAAAACAGGAUGCAGGAGAAAGGACAUGUGAAUAUUAACUCAAAAAAGGAAAAGAAAAUUAAUGUGACGCUUAACAGCCUGGACUUUGGAAACAGAUCCUCUGGGUUCAAAUGCCACCUCUGCCACUUAACUGACCUGUGACCUCAGGCAAAUUCUUUACCAGCUGAGCCACCAGGGAAGCUCAAUCACGAGGAAAAAAACAUCAGACAAAUCCCUCGAGAGGCACGUUCUCCAAAACUCCUGACCAGCAGUCCCCCUCAAUGUCAAGGUUACCAAAAGGAAGGAAAGUCUGAGAAACCGUCACAGCCAGGAGAGAGAGGUCUAAGGAGACGUGAAGGACAUGUAAUGUCAUCAGUGUUAUGGGGUGUCCUGGGUGGAGUCCUGGGACAGAAGAAGGACAUCAGGGCCCUCCUGUGACGCCUGCCUCACUCAAAACCUAAGUUCUUCCCGUGACCUUCUGCCCCCAUCCUGCCUCUGGCCUCGCCUCCCACCCUCUCUCUCCCUCCUUCAGUCCCCUCCAGCCACAUCAGUCUGCUCCACAUCUCUCCAAGGCAUCAGGCACAAGCCUGCCUCUGGACCUGUGCACCAGAUCAGAGAUGCUCCGCAUUCUGUGGACAGCUAUGGGCCCCACCCCCUCACCCAGCACUUCCACCUCCCUCU
ensembl:lncRNA